GGCAGUGUAGCAUAGUGGUUAAAGAGCAGGACUCAUACCUGAACGGUUGCUGGUUCAAUUCCUGCUAGGGCACUGCUG